GGGUUGUGAGGUUAAGCGACUAAGCGUACACGGUGGAUGCCCUGGCAGUCAGAGGCGAUGAAGGACGUGCUAAUCUGCGAUAAGCGUCGGUAAGGUGAUAUGAACCGUUAUAACCGGCGAUUUCCGAAUGGGGAAACCCAGUGUGUUUCGACACACUAUCAUUAACUGAAUCCAUAGGUUAAUGAGGCGAACCGGGGGAACUGAAACAUCUAAGUACCCCGAGGAAAAGAAAUCAACCGAGAUUCCCCCAGUAGCGGCGAGCGAACGGGGAGCAGCCCAGAGCCUGAAUCAGUGUGUGUGUUAGUGGAAGCGUCUGGAAAGGCGCGCGAUACAGGGUGACAGCCCCGUACACAAAAAUGCACAU
rnacentral:rRNA from 2 species